rnacentral:rRNA from 1 species
UACGGAGGGUGCAAGCGUUGUCCGGAUUUAUUGGGUUUAAAGGGUGCGUAGGCGGCUAUUUAAGUCAGGGGUGAAAGACUGCAGCUCAACUGUAGCAGUGCCUUUGAUACUGAAUAGCUUGAGUACAGAUGAGGCAGGCGGAAUGGGUGGUGUAGCGGUGAAAUGCAUAGAUACCAUCCAGAACACCGAUUGCGAAGGCAGCCUGCUAAACUGUAACUGACGCUGAGGCACGAAAGCGUGGGGAUCGAACAGG